CGCGGUAUUUUAACCGUGCAAAGGUAGCAUAAUCAUUAGUUUUUUAAUUGAAGGCUUGUAUGAAUGAUUGGACGAGAUAUUAGCUGUUUCAUAUAAAAUUAAAUAGAAUUUUAUUUUUUAGUUAAAAAGCUAAAAUUAUAAUAAAAGACGAGAAGACCCUAUAGAUCUUGAUAAUUUAUAUAUUUUAUUUAUAUAGAAAUUUUAAAAUAUUAUAUUAAAAAAUUAUUUUAUUGGGGUGAUAAUAAAAUUUAAUUAACUUUUAUAUAAAAUUUACAUUAAUUAAUGAAUAUUUGGUCCAUUAUUAAUGAUUAAUAAAUUAAGUUACCUUAGGGAUAACAGCGUAAUUUUUUUAGAGAGUUCAUAUCGAUAAAAAAGAUUGCGACCUCGAUGUUGGAUUAAG
rnacentral:rRNA from 1 species